rnacentral:rRNA from 1 species
GACGAACGCUGGCGGCGUGCCUAAUACAUGCAAGUCGAACGCUGAAGGAGGAGCUUGCUUCUCUGGAUGAGUUGCGAACGGGUGAGUAACGCGUAGGUAACCUGCCUUGUAGCGGGGGAUAACUAUUGGAAACGAUAGCUAAUACCGCAUAACAGUAGAUAUCGCAUGAUAUCUACUUGAAAGGUGCAAUUGCAUCACUACCAGAUGGACCUGCGUUGUAUUAGCUAGUUGGUGAGGUAACGGCUCACCAAGGCGACGAUACAUAGCCUACCUGAGAGGGUGAUUGGCCACAAUGGGACUGAGAAACGGCCCAGAAUCCUAAGGGAGGCAGCAGGAGGGAAACUUCGGCAAUGGACGGAAGGCUGACCGAGGAACGCCGCGUGAGGGAAGAAGGGUUUCGGAUCGGAAAGCUCUGUUGUAAGAGAAGAACGAGUGUGAGAGUGGAAAGUUCACACUGUGACGGUAGCUUAACAGAAAGGGACGGCUAACUACGUG